rnacentral:rRNA from 1 species
CGAGUGGCGAACGGGUGGAGUAAUAUAUCGGAACGUACCCUGGAGUGGGGGAUAACGUAGCGAAAGUUACGCUAAUACCGCAUACGAUCUAAGGAUGAAAGCAGGGGACCGCAAGGCCUUGUGCUCCUGGAGCGGCCGAUAUCUGAUUAGCUAGUUGGUGGGGUAAAGGCCUACCAAGGCAUCGAUCAGUAGCUGGUCUGAGAGGACCACCAGCCACACGGGAACUGAGACACGGUCCAGACUCCUACGGGAGGCAGCAGUGGGGAAUUUUGGACAAUGGGCGCAAGCCUGAUCCAGCAAUGCCGCGUGAGUGAAGAAGGCCUUCGGGUUGUAAAGCUCUUUUGUCAGGGAAGAAACGGUGGGGGCUAAUAUCCCUUGCUAAUGACGGUACCUGAAGAAUAAGCACCGGCUAACUACGUGCCAGCAGCCGCGGUAAUACGUAGGGUGCAAGCGUUAAUCGGAAUUACUGGGCGUAAAGCGUGCGCAGGCGGUUUUGUAAGUUUGUCGUGAAAUCCCCGGGCUCAACCUGGGAAUGGCGAUGAAGACUGCAAGGCUAGAAUCUGGCAGAGGGGGGUAGAAUUCCACGUGUAGCAGUGAAAUGCGUAGAGAUGUGGAGGAACACCGAUGGCGAAGGCAGCCCCCUGGGUCAAGAUUGACGCUCAUGCACGAAAGCGUGGGGAGCAAACAGGAUUAGAUACCCUGGUAGUCCACGCCCUAAACGAUGUCUACUAGUUGUCGGGUUUUAAUUAACUUGGUAACGCAGCUAACGCGUGAAGUAGACCGCCUGGGGAGUACGGUCGCAAGAUUAAAACUCAAAGGAAUUGACGGGGACCCGCACAAGCGGUGGAUGAUGUGGAUUAAUUCGAUGCAACGCGAAAAACCUUACCUACCCUUGACAUGGCAGGAAUCCUUGAGAG